GAUGAACGCUGGCGGCGUGCCUAAUACAUGCAAGUCGAGCGAACAGAUAAGGAGCUUGCUCCUUUGACGUUAGCGGCGGACGGGUGAGUAACACGUGGGUAACCUACCUAUAAGACUGGGAUAACUUCGGGAAACCGGAGCUAAUACCGGAUAAUAUUUCGAACCGCAUGGUUCGAUAGUGAAAGAUGGUUUUGCUAUCACUUAUAGAUGGACCCGCGCCGUAUGAGCUAGUUGGUAGGGUAACGGCUUACCAAGGCGAAGAGGCGUAGCCGACCUGAGAGGGUGAUGGGCAAUCAGGGGAGUGAGGCACGGACCAGACUCGUACGUGAGGCAGCAGUAGGGAGUGUUCCGCAAUGGGCGAAAGACUGACGGAGCAACGCCGCGUGAGUGAAGAAGGAUUUCGGUUCGUAAAGCUCUGUUGUUAGGGAAGAAUGAAUGUGUAGUAACUAGAAACAGUCGAGACGGUACCUAAAUAGAAAGACACGGCUAACUACGU
rnacentral:rRNA from 1 species